UUUUAAUAUUUUAUGAUGUAUUUAAAUGAGUAGUUAUUGUUGCAAACUCCAUUAGAAAUUUGAAUUGAGAUCAGUUUUGGUAAAAGGGAAAGGGGGAUGUGAAAAAAAAUGGGGGGGGGGGGUUAAAUUUUUCUCAUUUCAGAUUUCAUAAAUAAAAAGAAAAUUUCUUCAAACAUUUUUUUGAGAGGAUUAAUAUUCAACAGCAUAGUGAAUUGCUCAAAGGCAAAAAAAAUUUUUUAAGUUCAUUAGACC
rnacentral:lncRNA from 1 species